rnacentral:rRNA from 1 species
CAAUGGCGUAUAUUAAAGUUGUUGCAGUUAAAAAGCUCGUAGUUGGAUUUGUGGUGUACUUCGGCGGCCCGUCACUAUGUGAUGGAGCUUGCUGAAGUCGCCAUCCUUGGGUGGAUCCUGUGUGGCAUUAAGUUGUCGUGCAGGGGAUGCCCAUCGUUUACUGUGAAAAAAUUAGAGUGUUCAAAGCAGGCUUAUGCCGUUGAAUAUGUUAGCAUGGAAUAAUAAGAUAGGACCUUGGUACUAUUUUGUUGGUUUGCGCACCAAGGUAAUGAUUAAUAGGGACAGUUGGGGGUAUUCGUAUUUCAUUGUCAGAGGUGAAAUUCUUGGAUUUUUGAAAGACGAACUACUGCGAAAGCAUUUACCAAGGAUAUUUNCAUUA